ensembl:lncRNA uncharacterized LOC107674247
CGUCCUCCCCUAGCGUCUGAGUGAAUGGUAUCGUCUGGAAGAACCUCUACUAGAGAGGGAGAGCGCGAGCGCUGCUCGUGAGAGGACAGUGCUCAUCAGCGGGAAUGGCGGAGACCGUUCGCUCGCUCUUCGACAACCAGGAGCCGCCGACGCUGGACAGCAACGGAGAGAGCAGCAAACCGCCACAGCCGCGAGGACGUGGCUGUGGAAGGAAAAGGAAAGGGACACCAGUAAAAGUGUGUGACAGAGUCUUUGCUACAGAGGAUGAGGAGGAGAGCAUGUCUGAGAACAGCUAUGGACCAGAGAAAGGUGAUGGUCAUGAGGACAAACACAGAGUGCCUGCUGCUGAUGGACCAUACUAUGAAACUCAAUCUGCUCAGCUCUGUGUAAGUGAGGACGGCUCUAGCAGAGGGAGGGGGGCCGUCUCAUACCCCCCACCACCAAACUGCUGCAUUCGUGAAGUGCACUGUGGAAAUCAAGUGCGACUGACUGUCAUAGCGAUCUGCGACAUCGCUAAGGGGGAGGAGAUCACUGUGGAUUACAGUUUGACCGAGUGGGGAGAAAACGCUAUGGGUUUCCAUGGCACUGUACCUCCUAGUAGCUUUGAUUGCAGCUCAGACCACGAAAGCAACAUUAAGAAGGAGGAAGAGUCCGGCCCAGUUCCACUUUCUGCAUCAGAAUACCUCACACCUUCCUGGUCUCUCUCUCCUUCCUCCUCUCCUUUGUCUCACUCUGAGCCAAGUGAUUCAGACCUUGACUCGGAUGAUGCCAAUGGAGAGAGACGCAUGCGAAUACCUCACCGCCGCAAGAGGCACAAAGCCCUGUCCUCUCCUGCUGCACAUGCUAAGAGAAAAGCACUUCAACGACCCCCCAGCCAUCCUCCCACUUUUCCACACUCCAUCCUGUCCUCCCCACUGCAGCCCGCUGCUCCCUCCAGACCUGUGUUUAAGUGCCCUCCGUCUUCAGGAAUUCCUGCUAAUAGUGUCAAUGUGUCAGUGGGUUGUGGGCAGAGCACCAUGGCACAGAAACAGCGCUGUGUUUACUGUGGCCGUCACUUCCGAUCUCUCCCACACCAUCUGGAUAAACACCACGCCCACCAACCAGACGUGUGCUCUGCCAUGGUGCAAGCAUGCACCUCUGGUGACCCUCCUUGUGUACAGUCACCUCUCCCAUCAUCGAGCAAGCAAUCCCAAUGCCUUCAAGUGGCUCCUGUGCCAGGUGUGGUGGUGGGAACACCACAGUCACCUCCCUCUUCUUCUUUGUCUCCGGUCAGAAGGAGCCCUGCCCUCUCUAGCCCUAUUUACAAAAGUCCUACCCCAGCCCUGACAACUCCACCCAGAAGAGGUGGUGUUCCAGUGUCUGUCUUAAAGAGGAGCCCACCUACUCCUGCUACUCCUCCCAGAAAAGGACGAAAAACUAAAAAGGAUAAAGAGGAGGUGGACAUUUUUGAGAAGACAAAAGAAGAGGAAUUGCCCACUCCAGUGUUUUUGGACCAUGUUAAGGAGUCAGAACCUUCGAAAGAAGAAAGAGAGGACAAUGGAGGGAGAGAAGAAGAAAGCGGAGCAGAGGAUAAGACCGACCUAUCAAGUUUGCGUCGUCCCCACAUGCUCCCACUUCUUUCCUCCCUUUCCUCCCUGGUGUUGUACCUGCGGCGGCUGCAGCACUCUGCCUUUAUUUCUCUCUCCCGCUCACCACAGUCGGCCGAGGCAUGGCGUCUCCUCUGUCACUCCAGUCUGGCCCUUCUCAUCCUUUACAAUCGCCGCCGUGAAUGUGAAGUCUCCAAACUCACCGUCUCCGAGUACCAGGCCCGCGUCACACCCCAGUGCCCCAUCCCUGUGCAAUCUGGUGCCCCACCAACUCUUACCCCACUGGAGGCCUCGCUCUCACCCUUCGAGCGGAUGGUCCUCCCCCAUCUCCCUCGUGUUGGAGUCCAAGGGAAACGUGGCCGCGUACAGCCACUCAUCCUCCCACCACACUCUGAAGCCUGUCUGGAGAUGCUUUUGCAGACUCGUGCCGGCGUGGGAAUUGAUCCACAGAACGCCUAUGUGUUUGCCAGGCCGUAUCAUUCGCCAGCCACUCCCCUACGAGGCACAGAUUUACUACGUAGUUUGGCUCGGUCCAGUGGUUCUCAGCACCCGCGGGCACUGACACAGACACGCGUUCGGAGGCAGGUGGCGAUACUUACUCAACUGCUGUUGUUAAGUGAGGGUGAGGAGGAAGGGCAGCAUGGGUCUGCCAUACAGCGAUUGGAAAGCUUUUUGCAGAAGGAGUAUCACGUGACGCAAAGCUGUGCAACCAUUGGCCAGGACCCUGGGCUGAUGGGUCUGAUUGGUCGGGUGGUACUAUGCGGAGAGAGAGAUGGCGUCUUGUUCCGUGGAAUGAGUUUACACCACAUCUGUCUGGAGUUAGAUGUGUUGUCAGGAAACUCUGCUGACUCGUUGUCAGAGGAGUCAGAUGCUGAGCAGAGUAAAGAGAAACCUGAAGCACCAUCUCCUGCAACCAGCAUUAUGAUGAAGAAAACCAAAAGCAACAGCAAAUCUCCCAGGCCCAAGAAGAUGAACAGCAGCUCCCUGCUCUCAACGGGACGCAAAAAGGCCUCAGGACAGCCCAAGCCUGGUAAACGUGGUGUGCUGAAGCGGCCUUGGUCUGAGGCAGAGCGGGCAGCUGUCGAGUCCCACCUGGUGCAAAACAUCAUGGAGCUGCGUGUGCCGGCUAAAGCGGACUGUGAACGCUGCCUGGAGCUCUGCCCCCUGCUGGUCACUAACCACCGGGACUGGAGGGCUGUGAAAUUCUACUGCCACAACCGUAUACAGCUGCUCAAGAAAACCCAGCAGAGACAGGGUCCACCCGUCCUGUCCGUCUGCUGAGGCUGUGAAUCGGCACGCUGCUGGGAAGGGUCAUCCAAUAACAGCAGAUGUGUAAGGGAGGGAAUGUGAGGAGGUGCUGAGGGAAAAUAUUUACAUGGUACAGUCACAGUAAACACAGUACAAAUGCUUUAAUUAAUGUGAUGUUGUGUGUGAUUUGUGUCCAGUGUGUAAAACGGAAAAUGGUAACACUCUGGGAAGCAGACUGAAAUGCACACUUGUGUACUUUUCCAAAAUAUUUUUCCAGCUAUGACGAAGGACACUAAUUUUUCUGUCUGUAGAUUACCAGUAAGUUUUUCUGUUGCUGGCUUGAAAGUAGAUGAACAUUUUUGACCAGCUGAAAGUCUGAAUGGCUUUGCUCUCCCUUUGGCCAUGCCUAUAUCUCACCAGUGAAAGAGAAUCAGGCAGACUGAGCAACUUGUGCCUUGAUGGGAGUCAAACCUCAAUUUCAUUCACAUUUGUGAACAUUUUUCUGCUACAUGCAGAUUUCAUAAUUUUUCAUGAAAUUUGACUGGUUUUUCAAAAUGCAUCUUUUUUCCCCAUUGCAAUUCCAAUUAAUUAAUGCAAUUACAAAUAAAAAUAACAUAUGGUAUCAGAAUACAGAGUCCAGUGCACAGAUUCAUAUGGAUGACAUUUAUGACAUUUUUUGAUGUUUAUGCAUUAUUAAUUGUAAUUGCAUGAACAAAAAUUACCAGAACAUUCUUCGGAAUUCCUCCUUUUGUGUUCCAGAGCAUGAGUGAGGAUUUCUUUUUGGGUUCUUUUCAUUCAUUUCAAACCACUGAAGUUAGCUGUUUGGUAGCUUGUUCGGGAUUGGAAAAUAAGCAUUUGUUUGUCCUGUAGCUCUAGAAAUGGACAUGAAUGAGUGAGCGGAUGAUUUUGAUUCACUUAUUUGCUUUGUAUCCAUCCAUCAAAUCCAUAUCAGAACUUAAACUGUGUAUUGGAAACGCAUGAUAACCACACAUAACACCUCAGUUUAUACUCUAUACUUUGCUGUUUUGUUAUCCUUUGUCCUUUCAAACUUUGCAAUAUAUAUAUGUUCACACACAUAUAUAUUGUCGUACUAUUAACAGUGGGAUUAUUACUAUUAAAUCUUACUGUAGCAAGUGUUUUUUCCAUUUCCACUUCAUGUGUAUAUAUACUGAAUGUAAAUAUUUGCAGGAAAAAAAGAGCACGAUGUAAAUAUACCGUAGGCAAGACAAGCUUGUUUUUGUGUUGUCUGUAUGUUUUUCUAAGUUGUCUGAAAUGGUAA